rnacentral:rRNA from 1 species
AUGAUGAUGCAAAAGACUCUAACACUGACAGAUAGCCAGCAGAUGGGAGGGGAAGUGGGCAUGGAGGAUGCUGGUUAUUGUGUGACAACACCGCACAAGAGUAGAUGUGCAUCAGCUAACCCCAGUGACACUAAGACUGCAGCUGCUCAUGAUGAUGCUAUAUCUGAUCUAUCUGGAAUGAAAAACGGACUGAAGGGCGUGCUUACACAUUAUGAAGGUACAUUAAAAUGUGCAACAGCCUUGGUUUGCCCACCCUUCUUGGAAGAGGGCCUCUUGUUGGACAAUGUGCCAUUGAAGUCGGGCUGUGUGAAGUGCUACAUGACUGAAGUAAAGCCCGGAUUCAAUGAAUUUGCCCUGAAGAAUGUCUGA